rnacentral:tRNA from 2 species
CGUAGCUCAGUUGGUAGAGCAAUUGACUCUUAAUCAAUGGGUCGAGAGUUCGAGCCUCUCCGG